CCUACGGGGGGCUGCAGUAAGGAAUAUUGGUCAAUGGACGAAAGUCUGAACCAGCCAUGCCGCGUGGAGGAUGAAGGUCCUCUGGAUUGUAAACUUCUUUUAUAUGGGACGAAAAAAGGGUUUUCUAACUCGUCUGACGGUACCAUAUGAAUAAGCACCGGCUAACUCCGUGCCAGCAGCCGCGGUAAUACGGAGGGUGCAAGCGUUAUCCGGAUUCACUGGGUUUAAAGGGUGCGUAGGUGGGUUGGUAAGUCAGUGGUGAAAUCUCCGAGCUUAACUUGGAAACUGCCAUUGAUACUAUCAGUCUUGAAUAUUGUGGAGGUCAGCGGAAUAUGUCAUGUAGCGGUGAAAUGCUUAGAUAUGACAUAGAACACCAAUUGCGAAGGCAGCUGGCUACACAUCUAUUGACACUGAGGCACGAAAGCGUGGGGAUCAAACAGGCUUAGAUACCCUGGUAGUC
rnacentral:rRNA from 1 species